rnacentral:rRNA from 1 species
GAUUGAGGUCUGAAAUUCGACCUCAUGAACGCGGAAUUGGUAGUAAUCGCAGGUCAGACAUACUGCGGUGAAUACGUUCUUGUCUCUUGCACACACUGCCCGUCAAGCCAACAAAGUCGGGAGUACCUGAAGGCUCUUCACGGGGACGAGGGUAAACUCGGCGAUGGGGGUUAAGUCGUAA